CGCGGCCUAUCAGCUUGUUGGUGAGGUAAUGGCUCACCAAGGCUUCGACGGGUAGCCGGCCUGAGAGGGCGACCGGCCACACUGGGACUGAGAUACGGCCCAGGCUCCUACGGGAGGCAGCAGUGGGGAAUAUUGCACAAUGGGCGCAAGCCUGAUGCAGCAACGCCGCGUGCGGGAUGACGGCCUUCGGGUUGUAAACCGCUUUCAGUAGGGACGAAGCUAACGUGACGGUACCUACAGAAGAAGGACCGGCUAACUACGUGCCAGCAGCCGCGGUGAUACGUAGGGUCCGAGCGUUGUCCGGAAUUAUUGGGCGUAAAGGGCUUGUAGGCGGUCCGUCGCGUCAGGAGUGAAAACUCGGGGCUUAACCCCGAGCCUGCUUUUGAUACGGGCGGACUAGAGGGAUGCAGGGGAGAACGGAAUUCCUGGUGGAGCGGUGGAAUGCGCAGAUAUCAGGAGGAACACCGGUGGCGAAGGCGGUUCUCUGGGCAUCACCUGACGCUGAGAAGCGAAAGCGUGGGGAGCAAACAGGCUUAGAUACCCUGGUAGUCCACGCCGUAAACGGUGGGCACUAGGUGUGGGGGACAUUCCACGUUCUCCGUGCCGAAGCUAACGCAUUAAGUGCCCCGCCUGGGGAGUACGG
rnacentral:rRNA from 1 species